GGUUUAUUUAGAGUAUGUUUAAUGCAUGGUACAGUAUCUACGCUUUAAGUUCUCUCGCUUCUCUACAUGUCAGUUAAAAACUACAUCAUAACUUAGAAGUUUGAGUGACGAGUAUGUCCGACGACCACGGAAAGGCCUGCGAAGUUUUUACUCUUGUGCAAUCGAGUGAGAUCAUAUAAAUUGAUUAUCGCGUAUCAUGUCUAUAAGGACUAUUAUAAAAUAGAUCGAAAUAAACAUAGCAAAAUCGCAAUUCACGAAACAGACCAGUUCUUAAUUUCUCAUUUCACGCAGCAUUUUUAUCGACAAUCACGCCUCACGGCUGUAGAACAAAUCACAUUUCGCGACACUAAAAUCAAGCAUUUCAUAUUUCACGCGAACAAAUA